UAUAGUGGCGCACGGGUGAGUAACACGUGAAUAAUCUACCUCCGAGUGGGGAAUAACCAAAAGAAAUUUUGGCUAAUACCGCAUAACACUUACGAGUCAAAGCAGCAAUGCGCUUGGAGAGGAGUUCGCGGCAGAUUAGUUAGUUGGCGGGGUAAUGGCCCACCAAGACGAUGAUCUGUAUCCGGCCUGGGAGGGCGCACGGACACACUGGAACUGAAACACGGUCCAG
rnacentral:rRNA from 1 species